rnacentral:rRNA from 1 species
UACAGAGGUCUCGAGCGUUGUUCGGAUUCAUUGGGCGUAAAGGGCGCGUAGGCGGCGGGGUAAGUCUGGUGUGAAAUCUCGGAGCUCAACUCCGAAAUUGCACUGGAUACUGCUCUGCUAGAGGGCUGGAGAGGAGAUCGGAAUUCACGGUGUAGUAGUGAAAUGCGUAGAUAUCGUGAGGAAGACCAGUGGCGAAGGCGGGUCUCUGGACAGUUCCUGACGCUGAGGCACGAAGGCCAGGGGAGCAAACGGG